rnacentral:rRNA from 1 species
GACGAACGCUGGCGGCGUGCUUAACACAUGCAAGUCGAACGGAAAGGCCCUGCUUGCAGGGUACUCGAGUGGCGAACGGGUGAGUAACACGUGGGUGAUCUGCCCUGCACUUCGGGAUAAGCCUGGGAAACUGGGUCUAAUACCGGAUAGGAGCCAUUUUUAGUGUGAUGGUUGGAAAGUUUUUUCGGUGUAGGAUGAGCUCGCGGCCUAUCAGCUUGUUGGUGGGGUAAUGGCCUACCAAGGCGGCGACGGGUAGCCGGCCUGAGAGGGUGGACGGCCACAUUGGGACUGAGAUACGGCCCAGACCCCUACGGGAGGCAGCAGUGGGGAAGAUUGAACAAUGGGCGCAAGCCUGAUGCAGCGCCGCCGCGUGGGGGAUGACGGCCUUCGGGUUGGAAACUCCUUUCGCUAGGGACGAAGCUUUUUGUGACGGUACCUAGAUAAGAAGCACCGGCUAACUACGUG